rnacentral:lncRNA from 1 species
CCUGUAGUCCCAGCUACUCAAGAGGCUGAGGCAGGAGAAUUGCUUGAACCUGGGAAGUGGAGGUUGCAGUGAGCCAAGAUUGCACCACUGCACUCCAACCUGGGUGACAGAACCAGACUCCAUCAAAACAAACAAACAAACAAACAAAAAACAGCUAGUCUGAUUCCAGGGCACUUGGUGGGAGGCAGCACACCUCUGUCCCAACCUCAACUUCCUGGGAGACUCCCCAAAGUGGCAGAGCCCACAAGGGUGUCUCCUUCCUCUGCACCCCAAAUGCGUAAAGUACCCAUCACAGCACUUCCCACAGCCCUUCAUUCACUCUUCCUCCUCCUUCCCCACUCAUUCCUUGACCCUUCUCAUCCCCCAGCUGGGGAGCAGGGGCACAGAGAUGACUUGGACAUGGAUCCGAUCCCAG